UACGUAGGGUGCAAGCGUUAAUCGGAAUUACUGGGCGUAAAGCGUGCGCAGGCGGUUAUGCAAGACAGAUGUGAAAUCCCCGGGCUCAACCUGGGAAUGGCAUUUGUGACUGCAUGGCUAGAGUGUGUCAGAGGGGGGUAGAAUUCCACGUGUAGCAGUGAAAUGCGUAGAUAUGUGGAGGAACACCGAUGGCGAAGGCAGCCCCCUGGGAUAACACUGACGCUCAUGCACGAAAGCGUGGGGAGCAAACAGG
rnacentral:rRNA from 1 species